AACGAACGCUGGCGGCAGGCUUAACACAUGCAAGUCGAACGCAUCCUUCGGGGUGAGUGGCAGACGGGUGAGUAACGCGUGGGAACGUGCCCUUCAGUUCGGGAUAACCCAGGGAAACUUGGGCUAAUACCGGAUACGUGCGAGAGCAGAAAGAUUUAUCGCUGAAGGAUCGGCCCGCGUGUGAUUAGCUAGUUGGUGGGGUAAUGGCCCACCAAGGCGACGACCAGUAGCUGGUCUGAGAGGAUGAUCAGCCACAUUGGGACUGAGACACGGCCCAAACUCCUACGGGAUGCAGCCGUGGGGAAUAUUGGACAAUGGGCGCAAGCCUGAUGCAGCCAUGCCGCGUGAGUGAUGAAGGCCUUAGGGUUGUAAAGCUCUUUCGUCCGGGACGAUAAUGACGGUACCGGAAGAAGAAGCCCCGGCUAACUUCGUGCCAGCCGCCGCCGUAA
rnacentral:rRNA from 1 species